GGAAGGGUCGCAUAGUGGUCGAGUGCCUCCGCUUGGAAAGCGGAUAUAGCCGUAAGGCUAUCGUGGGUUCGAAUCCCACCCCUUCCG
rnacentral:tRNA from 1 species